GGGAAGAUGACAGGAGCUCUGGCUCCGGCGAUGAUGUGUCUUGCAUCUGAACCAUAGGAUCCUCAAGCCACGUUUUAAUCUGAAGCGUUUGUUUUAAUUACCAAUGGUACCACGCGGUUGACUCAAGAACACAUGGAGCGUGCAUUUUGGAUCAUCAGAUCUGCCACCUCAAUUAAUGAGGGAGAUCUGAUGGCCACGUAAUUUAUCAUUUUCUGAAUUUUAUUUUAAUUGCAU
rnacentral:lncRNA from 1 species